UACGUAGGGGGCGAGCGUUGUCCGGAAUUACUGGGCGUAAAGGGUGAGUAGGCGGUUGUAUAUGUCAGGUGUAAAAGGCGUGGGCUCAACCCACGUUAGCACUUGAAACUGUACAACUUGAGUGCAGGAGAGGUAAGCGGAAUUCCUAGUGUAGCGGUGAAAUGCGUAGAUAUUAGGAGGAACACCGGUGGCGAAGGCGGCUUACUGGACUGUAACUGACGCUGAGUCACGAAAGCGUGGGUAGCAAACAGG
rnacentral:rRNA from 1 species